rnacentral:antisense_RNA from 1 species
UGGGCGGCCAGCUGGGCUCGGAGUGCAGCGGGGUUAGGGUGGACGAGGACGUGUUGCACCCUGAAGAGCCUCAUCAUCGGUGAGAGUGGGGUGGGCAAGUCCAGCCUGCUCUUGAGGUUCACAGAUGAUACCUUUGAUCCAGAACUUGCAGCAACAAUAGGUUCACCUGCUUCCAGGCGGGCAGGGCGUUGUAUUCGUCCCUCGUCAUGUCUAGUGCAAACUGGAAACAUUGGGAGAAGCGCCCCGCGGCUCAGUGAAAGGAGCCGGGCGUGCGUGUGUUGUUUUACUCCCAUCCCCACCCCACCGGAAGAACCGCUUACCUCGAAGUCUUCGUCGGUGAGAUAGAUCUCAAGCUUCAGAGGAUCGACCCCCUCCGGGAGUGGCCUGGCCAGGAGGUCGGCCAGCGGAUCCAUCUUCGGUUGUGAAUCCGGCCCGGGAUGCAGCCACCCCUUAGAGCAACCCCCCCUGCUGCUCGUGCCCUGCUGUGCUACUGCCUCAGUCACUUCCUGCUUGGUCAAGACCACAGCUGCUGAUGUCACAGCUGAGGCACAUCAAAAAGGCUGCCUGAUUCAAAGAAAGCUGCCGGAUAAAUCAUAGAACACAGACACUUCUACCUCAUGCUCUUAUGGGACUUUAGGAACCAAACAUAAGCACCUAUGGAAAAUGCACGGCGGUCUUGAAAGGCUGUGGUCUUUCAAGAAAAUAUCUGAAUGACUGUCUGUCAGUCCUACUCUGCAGGCUUGCUAAGAUGAUGAUUGAAAGGGCUCUUGGUUUCUGCUUUGGAAUCUGGCAUUUAUGUUUUGAAGCGUUGUGAGCAAGCGAUGUGGCAGAUUGCAGGGUGAGGGGGACAAACCUGGGCCAGGAGCCAGGGGUUUCUCUACCCCCUUCCCUGACUUACAGCUGGAACUGGGCUCAGUGGUUUCAGCCUCUUUUGCUAAGAAGGUCUGGGUAUGUAAUCCUGGCUGCACCUUAAAAUCCCUGGGAGCUUUUAAGACAUAUUG